ACUCAUCCUUCCUCUUUAACACUCUGUUCUAAUAUGGUUUACUAUAAAUAAUGCAGAGAGAGAGAGAGAGAGGGAGCGGCUGAGGGACUGAACACCAGGCCUCUGCACAGCCAGGUCACUACAGACCCAGGUCCCACAGACAAUCCCAAGGCAUCAGCAGCCCCCUCGAUGGAAUGUUCUCAGAGACCCUGCAUGUCCACAUGAAGGAGGCGGAAAGCCAGUGAGGGCAGGAAGCCGACAGACCGUGUGACAUGUGCAGCUGCCUUCCAUCAGGUUCCAACCCUGGAAACCACAGGAGCUUGGAAGAGAUUCUCCGGAUGGAUUCUCCUCUUGCUUUCUCCCAGGGAGGGGCAGCGGGGUGCGUGGAUCCCACCUGCUUGGCGAAGAAGAGCGGUAGCUUCGUGUCUCAGAACUCCUUCCAGUGACCACGGGAUUCACCUCCUUGCAACAGACACUCCAUUUUUCUAGGAUUUCAGACCCACUGGAACGAGCUCUCAUCAGAAAGGGAGAGAAUGGUAUCCUCCGAGGUGGGAGUGGGGUCAGAGGGUGGAGGGAAAAACAUCCACGGAAAACCAGGGGUUCUGGGUACCGCGCCACAAUCCGUACGACCAGGGGAUGAUCCCUCCUCCCCGCUGGGCUCUGCGGAUCUGCCUCUGCGUGGCAAGAAGCAGGUCCAGGUGGCAUCUUUUCAAACCUUUCUCAUUAUUUGAAGGGCAAACUCACAUCAAGAACCAAGAGGUGAGUGGCUCCUAGUGACAAAAGAAUUGCAUUCAGAGGGACGGAGCAAGCUGCCUCUCACACCAAGGCUGCAGGCUGGGGAGGGGGGCAGAAUGACAGACUCCAGGGCUGGCCAGAAUGAAAGACUGAAUGGAAUAGCCUAAUUUACACAGGAAGUAAGCACUUACCAGACCCUUCAUCUCAACACACAAAACCCUCGGCCAUAUCUGGAAGCAAUUACAUCCAGUUAACAUGAUCUGCUUGCCACUAAAAUUAACUGCAAACAGAAAUAUUUUUCACUUUUGCAACAGGGGAUGCCAAGGCUUGGCCUAUCCCCGCUAGCCCCCGAGCCAUUGAAUCUAGCUGCUGGGGAAUAUUUAGCAGCUACCCAGCUCAAAAAACAAAAACCACUCUUGUGGCUGUCAGGACACAAAAAAGUAAAAUAGUGGAUAAUUAUGAAGGGGGGAGGGGAGGGGAGAGGUGGCAGUGAAAACCAUUGUGCUAGAAAUUGAGAAAGGGGCCAGGCACACGGGCCCCAAACGGGUGUGCAGCGCUCACAAGUCCAGCCCUGGUUUUCCACACUCAACGUCAAGGGAAGAAAAAUGUUUUUAGAGUCACUCGAUUUAGCAGCGCUUCACAUUGUUUUUAGGUCCCAUCUUCAUCCCUCUGCCAAGGGGACGGGGGUGGGGGGAUGUAGGGAGGUAGACUCGCAAAUGUUAGCAGAUCCUUAAUUUAGCAGAGCAUUGAGGGGACAACUGUCACGAUUUAACUUCUGCACUGAACACUUCCCAUCCCUACUCCACGAACGCCUCGAAGUGGCUUUCACCUGCUCCGAGAGAGGCAGGGGCUGUUAUUCAUUUGAGACGGGCACAGUUUUUCAUGGAGAGGAUGGAGGGGCGAACCUGCCUCCUGUGGGCACGUACACCCCAAAACGAGCCACUGUCCCAUCUCCCAAGCGCCAGGCCAGCUGCCUGGACACACUGACCACUCCCAUCCUUCCUCUCUGCACCUGGCCCGCCAACUGGGUAAGAACUUAUUUUUAUUUUUUCCUUGAACUGCUGUCAGUGAUGCCAGAGACAGAUGGACAGAUUUGUUUUAAAGUUCCGGAAGGAAGCAUCAUCUCCAAGCCCCGCAUCCCCGCACGGGCCCAUCAUCUCCUCGGGGCCAGGCUCCACGGGCUGCGCCUCCGAGUGCAAUUCACUCCCUCGACACCAGGGGCCUUUCAGGCGGCAGCAGAGGCAAAGGCAGAAGCAAGCAUCCAUUUGCCAGACAGCUCACAAACCUCUCUUCUCUAAGAGUCAGGCCAAAGCUUCCCCCAAGAACGAGGUCAAACGCUGCUUUUCUCCGCAAAAAAAAAAAAAAAAAAAAAAAAAAAAAAAAAAAAAAAAAACACUCACAUUUACAAACAUCACUCGCAGGCAGAAGAAGAAAAGGAAGGAACAAGGAAAAGCUUCUCUUUGAUUCCAAGGCCACGAUGGAGGAAGAAAGUCUCGAUACAUUAGACGGGAAAAAGUGCUAGGCCAUUCUUUUCAAAAUGUCUUAAAAUGAUAUUACGAUAAGAAAGAAAAGAAAGAAAGAAAGAGAUCCUUUCAGUGAGGGCCACAGGCCAUGCCAUGUGCCCACCCCGGGCUCUAUAUUCCAAGUGCAUCCUCCUCCUAUGGAUAAUAUCAGGGCAGCACUAUAUACAGUCCACGCUAGGACGGACUCUCAGAGCUGAGGAAGCAAGAGGUAAGGUAUUUCUCCAGAGCCACAGAGCUUCUAAGAGGCAGGGGAUAAAUUCAAACCCACCUUCCCAGCUGCCCAUCGUUCUGCAGCCGACUCCAGAAACUUCUGACACUGCAGGAAUGCAAAACCCAAAUUUAAUCAUCCCCUGAACACCUCCCACCCUCCCAGGGAGACAGCUCCCCAUUCACGAGUGGGGGUCUCUCCUCCACCCACCCCCAGACUCCCCACACACAUCUAGGGACACGCUCCGCUCUGGCACCACACAGCCAUCCAGGCAUGGAAACGGUUAAGUCGUCCUCACUGAAUAAAUCAAAAGUUCAAGGCUGCAACAUACCACAAUGAUUCCCUCUUUACAUAUGACAAGAACCAGAGAGGGGCUGAAAUCCCAAGCAUCCUGAGCGGCCCGCACAGGUUAUGCCGCCAGGGUCAGGGCCGCGGACCUUUAGAGGCAACAUUCAUUUCCUGAACAGGACAAGUUCUCCUGACCAUAAAGCUAAUAGGAACUUCCUCGCACGGCGAGCUCCGGCUGACAGGGCUACUUGUCACUGGCCACGCAGGAGGAGAACGCUGGUUCCCAUUAGUGGGUUAUGAUGCCAGGUGCUACUAAUAAGGUACAUCGGCAAGAAACAAGAGCCUGCUAAGUUGUCUCUCCAACUCUGGAAGUAAUCAGGCCUGGGCUUCAGGGUUGGGGAGGGGCCAUAUAUAAAGAGAGGGUGGGGGGCUGGGGGGUGGUUUUAGCCACGGUAGACCCCGACAGCAUCUAACCUGCUGAAUGGCUUAAAUAAAUACAUUUCAAACAAUCCCUCUGCAUUUCCCCCACCUACCAUAAAAGGCUCCCCCAAAUUAACACUAAUAAUGCUUCCCCCAGCACUCCAGGCCUGAUGGAUCACCGAGGGCCAUUACGGUCGGCCACAUCUGCUUCUCACUAUGGCAAGGAGAGUUGUGCCAACAGGCCUAAUGGCAUUAAGAUCACAAUGCUCAGCUAAUCCACUUAGAGAUCGACACCGGGCAAGGGUGGCAGGGGGCUCCGUGAGUGAGCGGCCCCCCUUGUCAGGCUGGGGUCACAAAGGAAGUGGGAAGCAGGGAGGCAGCCUCACGUGUGAGUCCCUGCUGGGUGUGUUAGGUUACCUGCUACAUCCCUGGGACAGGUUUCAAACCACAUGGAGUGAACCUCACUUCACAGGAGAGGAGCCUGAUGAUUCGGACAGGUGAAGCCCAGAUUCACAAGGUAGCGCCAGCUCUCUCACCCACGUGUGCCUGACACCGGUCUGGCCCUGCACUGCAUGCCUGGCCCCCUAUAAAGAUUGGCCAUCUGUCUGUCUUGCUCUUGACAUGCCCAGCGGUGGUGGUUUGUGUCCCUGUACAACUCCUUACUUAAUAUUUCUGGGGCAUCCAAAUGGCCCAAAGGAGCGCCCGGCUGGCUCAGUCAGAAGAGCAUGCGGCUCUUGAUCUGGGGGUUGUGAGUUCAAGCCCCAAGUUGGGUGCAGAAAUUACUUAAAUAAAGAAAGAAACUUUUAAGAGAAGUAAAUAAAAAUGGCCCGGAAGAGGGGAAAACUCUUAAAAAUCACUUCCAACUGGCCUGCAAUUUCUCCCCUUCAUCGAAAUUUCUGUGACCAAAUCUUCUAAUAACUUUGCCAAGUGAUGUCCCACUGUUUCAGGAAGUUCUUCACGCUGUCUAGCUCAGCUUCGUCCUACUGCAAAGCCCAACACAAUCCGUUCCUGCUGAAGGAAUUCGGGGCUUGAGGGACAGAGUGGAAAGUGAGCUAGGAACUUAGAACUGAGAAGGUUUUGGCGAGUUUUCAGCCGAAGUUUCCAUACCAGCAAUAAAGUACUGGAUCCCCUGCUUGCAGCUGCACCGAUAAGCCUCACGUAGGCAAAACCCGACCAUGGUUUUUCCAGACUGAGCCAGCAUAAGGACACCGGGGCUUUUAAGGGGAGACAGUAGAAAGGGGGAUUUCUGAUUAUGCUGGCAUGAAAUUAACAGCA